rnacentral:rRNA from 1 species
GGCUUACAAAGGUUGGCUCAGAACGGUUGGAAAUCGUUCGUAGAGUAUAAAGGUAUAAGCCAGCUUAACUGCAAGACAUACAAGUCAAGCAGAGACGAAAGUCGGUCUUAGGGAUCCGGUGGUUCUGUGUGGAAGGGCCAUCGCUCAAAGGAUAAAAGGUACCCCGGGGAUAACAGGCUGAUCUCCCCCAAGAGCUCACAUCGACGGGGAGGUUUGGC